rnacentral:rRNA from 1 species
AUUAAUUCGAUGCAACGCGAAGAACCUUACCAAGGCUUGACAUGGGGUGAAAACUCGUAGAGAUACGGGGUCCGCAAGGGCGCCUCACAGGUGGUGCAUGGUUGUCGUCAGCUCGUGUCGUGAGAUGUUGGGUUAAGUCCCGCAACGAGCGCAACCCUCGUUCUAUGUUGCCAGCACGUAAUGGUGGGGACUCAUAGGAGACUGCCGGGGUCAACUCGGAGGAAGGUGGGGAUGAGGUCAAAUCAUCAUGCCCCUUAUGUCUUGGGCUUCACGCAUGCUACAAUGGCCGGUACAAAGGGCUGCGAAACCGUAAGGUGGAGCGAAUCUCAAAAAGCCGGUCUCAGUUCGGAUUGGGGUCUGCAACUCGACCCCAUGAAGUCGGAGUCGCUAGUAAUCGCAGAUCAGCAACGCUG